GGAGGAAGGGCAGUUACCUAAUACGUGAUUGUUUUGACGUUACCGACAGAAUAAGCACCGGCUAACUCUGUGCCAGCAGCCGCGGUAAU
rnacentral:rRNA from 1 species